rnacentral:tRNA from 1 species
GCAGCCGUGGCCGAGUGGUUAGGGCGAUGGACAAGAAAUCCAUUGGGGUCUCCCCGCACAGGUUCAAAUCCUGUCGACUGCG